CUUUAAAUGAAACUGGCUGCUUUGUCCCUCCUCAACCUCUCAUCAGCCCUUGCUAAACUUUAACCCCAUGGCGAUUUUAUUCUGUUCGUCGGAUCUGAGCGCUGUUCGGAUAUAUUGAGCGCUUAGAUCCAAGCUAUCUGGGAAUAGGUUGAAUGUGGGGGUUCUGUUCAAUAUAAUAGGAAUUAUGUAUUUUUAUGUAUUUUUACUGUUGUUGUAAAUAGAG